rnacentral:misc_RNA from 1 species
GAUGAAGAACGUAGCGAAAUGCGAUAAGUAGUGUGAAUUGCAGAAUUCAGUGAAUCAUCGAAUCUUUGAACGCACAUUGCGCCCCUUGGUAUUCCAUGGGGCAUGCCUGUUCGAGCGUCAUUUGUACCUUCAAGCUUUGCUUGGUGUUGGGUGUUUGUCUCGCCUUUGCGUGUAGACUCGCCUUAAAAUAAUUGGCAGCCGGCGUAUUGAUUUCGGAGCGCAGUACAUCUCGCGCUUUGCACUCAUAACGACAGCGUCCAAAAGUACAUUUUACACUCUUGAGCUCGGAUCAGGUAGGGAUACCCGCUGAACUUAAGCAUAUCAAUAAGCGGAGGA